UGCUGACUUGUGUUGUGUUAUUAUUAUCUGUCUUUACUCAUGUCAACUCUUCUUAUUUUUCUUUUAAAAGACAUCAGUUUCUGCAGCUAUGAAGUCGGCAGGAUGAAGUGAAGGAGGCUUUGGAAGCAUUUAUGCUGGGAUUUGCUUGAGAGAUGACCUUAAGGUGGCGCUGAAAUUUGCUGAAAUAACGUGGGUAUAGAUUGGAUUUGGACCUUGAGAGUAAUCCUGAACCCGUUCCACAGGAGAUCAGCCCCUGGGUUCCCCAACAAAGGCCCCAGGGUUCCCCACAUCAUCCAGCUUCUGGCAAAAUCCUGACCGAUGCGGGAUACACAUCCUUUGCUGGCAGACCCAACCUGUAUAUGCCCAAGAAGACCCUCUGGAAAAAGGAUGGCUUGUCACAAGGUUAGAACUUCAAGGAGAAGUUCUCAAUGGGAUCUAGUUUGAGACAUCCUUUCCAGUGAUGCACUUGGAAGUUGAACCGCCGGAGUCCACCGGAUCAAUUGAGAGGAGGUUUUUGGGACUACUGAAGGCCCAUGUUAGAGCAGCAUGGUCACAUCUUCAUGUGUGUUUCAAAAAUGGACAAAAGUUUUAUGGGCUUGACCAUUUUCAUAUUUGGAUGAACUACGUAACUCUUGAAUACAAUAAAUGCAAAUCUGCAGAAAGUA